CUUUCCUUGAUGACGACUGGCGCACGGGUGAGUAACGCGUAUCCAACCUUCCCAUAACUACGGGAUAACCCGUUGAAAGACGGCCUAAUACCGUAUGAUAUCGUUUGCUGACAUCAAAUAACGAUUAAAGGUUUAGCGGUUAUGGAUGGGGAUGCGUCUGAUUAGCUUGUUGGCGGGGUAACGGCCCACCAAGGCAACGAUCAGUAGGGGUUCUGAGAGGAAGGUCCCCCACAUUGGAACUGAGACACGGUCCAAACUCCUACGGGAGGCAGCAGGG
rnacentral:rRNA from 1 species